UACGUAGGGGGGCAAGCGUUUGUCCGGAAUCAUUGGGCGUAAAGAGCGUGUAGGCGGCCCGAUAAGUCCGCUGUGAAAGUCCAGGGCUCAACCCUGGGGAUGCCGGUGGAUACUGUCGGGCUAGAGUCCGGAAGAGGCGAGUGGAAUUCCUGGUGUAGCGGUGAAAUGCGCAGAUAUCAGGAGGAACACCAAUGGCGAAGGCAGCACUCUGGGACGUGACUGACGCUGAGACGCGAAAAGCGUGGGGAGCAAACAGG
rnacentral:rRNA from 1 species